AACGAACGCUGGCGGCAUGCCUAACACAUGCAAGUCGAACGAGACCUUCGGGUCUAGUGGCGCACGGGUGCGUAACGCGUGGGAACCUGCCCUUAGGUUCGGAAUAACUCCCCGAAAGGGGUGCUAAUACCGGCUAAUGUCUCCGGACCAAAGAUUUAUCGCCUUUGGAUGGGCACGCGUUGGAUUGGCUAGUUGGUAGGGUAAAAGCCUACCAAGGCGACGAUCCAUAGCUGGUCUGAGAGGAUGAUCAGCCACUCUGGGACUGGGACACGGCGCAGACUCCUACGGGAGGGAGCAGUGGGGAAUAUUGGACAAUGGGCGAAAGGCUGAUCCAGCUAGGCCGGGUGAGUGAUGAAGGCCGGAGGGUUGUAAAGCUCUUUUAUCCGGGAGGAUAAUGACAGUACCGGGAGAAUAAGCUCCGGCUAACUCCGUG
rnacentral:rRNA from 1 species